CUUCAGCCCUGAUGGGAGCGGCAUCCUUUUUCUUUCGUUGAGGCUCUCACCGAAAGAAAAAGAUAGAGCGGACAGCAGGAACAGGG
rnacentral:sRNA from 1 species